CUCCGAUACAGCCGGUUCAGUCGAUGCAGCUUUUUGUGCAAGCAUUUGUAGUCUGUCUCGAUAGUAUCGUGUGAACAACCGGCUUUCUCAGAAUCGUAUGACUUUCCGUCUUGUUCUCCAGCGUGGUCAUUGUUGAUUAAUUUUACAAUUAAAAAUUCUACACAAGUUGGAUUUAUUAAGAAUUCAAAUCGCUUGAAUUCCAAUCCGAGGGACAAGAUAAGGAUGACACAAUUACUGGUAGUUUAUGAAAACAUCAUUGAUACAGACAUCGAUAUUUUAGCAAGAGUAGUGCAACGUUAAAACAUAGUCAUGGAGAACGUCGAGCAAUGCGGAGGACUGGAAUUCACGAAACUUCCGGUAGUUGUACAGAGAAAUUGCUGGAGCAUGGAGGAUAAAAAAGCAUUCGCUGGGCAUGUGAUACUGUUUAAGAUGACGAAAUAUUAUCGCAAUGAUUUUGUUGCAACAUGUACCACAGAAGAGAACAACCGACGUGUUUAAAAGUCUAAUAACAUGGUUUCAAUUAUUCUCAUUACCAAAAGGAUACAGAUAAACGUUUACAAGGUGCUUCUUUUAUUCAUAGUAAAGUACUAGAGCGAAAUUGAAUGCUAUUCAGUCCUACAUUUCACUCGAUAACAUUAUAUAUACACAAGGUUCGUUAAAGAAGUCAAACUUUCUUUCAAUGUAGCUACGCCAGCCGCAUUUGCGUGGGCGUUAAGGCCCGGUUUUACGUGAUUUCGUAACGACGACAGACCGAUUUCCAGUAUCAAAAACCAUUUCAUGAAGAUCCCGAAGACCUUCGAGCCUUGCUCCCUCUCUCUUAGUCCUCUCUCCGACUUCUAGAACGCCCUUGUGUACACAGAUGAAGUCUGGUCACAUGCGAAGAUCGCUUGUGAAAUUGCUGCUGGUUAUGCUAAACAACGAAGAAUGGGAAACGAACUGUACCUUGACAAUGGACGAUAAAUACUAUACUCUCGGGUGUUAGUAUGUGACGGCCUCAUUUUAAGUACCUUUAAUCCCAAUGGAAGAAACAAUCUAAAGGGCCAUCAUUAUCAUGGAUCCAGACCCUCUAACUGUUCCUGGAUCUAUCCACAUUCCUGCUUUCUUCCAUAAUAAAUAUGAAUUUCAUUGAAGA